rnacentral:rRNA from 1 species
CCUACGGGGGGCAGCAGUGAGGAAUAUUGGUCAAUGGGCGCGAGCCUGAACCAGCCAAGUAGCGUGAAGGAUGACUGCCCUACGGGUUGUAAACUUCUUUUAUAAAGGAAUAAAGUGAGGCACGUGUGCCUCUUCGUAUGUACUUUAUGAAUAAGGAUCGGCUAACUCCGUGCCAACCGCCGCGGUAAUACGGAGGAUCCGAGCGUUAUCCGGAUUUAUUGGGGUUAAAGGGAGCGUGGGUGGAUUGUUAAGGCCGUUGUGAAAGUUUGCGGGUCAACCGUCAAAUUGCAGUUGAAACUGGGAGUCUUGAGUACAGUAGAGGUAGGCGGAAUUCGUGGUGUAGCGGUGAAAUGCUUAGAUAUCACGAAGAACUCCGAUUGCGAAGGCAGCUCACUGGCCUGCUACUGACACUGAGGCUCGAAAGUGUGGGUAUCGAACAGGAUUAGAUACCCGUGUAGUC